rnacentral:tRNA from 1 species
GGUGGCGUAGCCAAGUGGUUAGGCAACUGAUUGCAAAUCAGUCACACGUCGGUUCGACUCCGACCGCCACCUCCA